rfam:Arthrobacter sp. Edens01 contig_28, whole genome shotgun sequence.
UACGGCGGUCAUUGCGCGGGGGAAACGCCCGGUCCCAUUCCGAACCCGGAAGCUAAGACCCGCAGCGCCGAUGGUACUGCACCCGGGAGGGUGUGGGAGAGUAGGUCACCGCCGGAC